ACGAGACGCCGCGACUGGCGCGUGCCCCUGCCGGGGUGCUCAGUGGAAUCGACCACAGGGGAGCGGCACCCCCGGGCCCGCCCGGGUGUCAUCGCCGGAGAGCCGUCCGCCUGGGCAUCCGGG
rnacentral:ncRNA from 18 species